ACACUUGACACUUACUAGCUGUGUGACCCUGGGCAAGUCGCUUAACCCCAAUUGCCUAAAAAGGAGAAAAAAAAUACGAAAAAGAAUCCUUGUAUGAGACCUGGUUGUGAGCAGCUUUCAUGAGAGGGUAGAGGCCGUGUUCCUCGGCAGAGACGUCCUCACAUUUCUGUAGGACGGCAUUAGUGAUGCUCCUAGUGCUGCGUGGUACUGCCCCUGCCACCCUCUGCACACAGCAAGGUGGCUGGAACCAGUUUGAUGUUCACUGCUGUAGUGAGGAUGCCUGCCCGGCAGAGAAACUGGAAGUUAAUCACGGGGCUCAGACCCGACUCGUUCUUUCUGGGGACAAGCAGUGGCAAGACCUGCUGAACUCCUUCAUGCAAGCCCACCCGCUGGCUGCCCCAGAAGCAGAACAUUGAGGAGGCCACUCUCCAGGAUUCCUCGGGCUCUGGAGACCCCAAAUGGCCAAAGCGGCUGGGACGUCACUGUGGGCUGUGUCCCCAAGGGGUCUAUGCCACAAACCAAGUCAAGACCCCCUGUCCUUGAGCAUCCUGGGACCAGCAGUUCCUGUCAUCCUACAGGCUAGACGGGCAUCAUCCCAGACCUUAACCCUAGCCCAGCUUAGGCCUAGGCUGAAGCGACCUCAGGAGCUGUCACCCUAAAGGUAAUAAACCCACCUAUUCCUCUUACCUCAGGUCCCCUUAUAUUCAGGUGGGGCUAUUUGGGGUGGGGGUAGGAUAAAAAAUCAAAUAGUUACUGGCCUCAUUACCUUCCCUCCUCUCCAGUGGGAAGAAGGCUGGUCUAGUUCUGGAGCUGUGAGCUCGGCCCACCGUGGGUUGGUGGUUGGGGCUGGAGAGAAAGGUCGCAAACCAAACCUAUGGUCAGCUUGGUUUAUUCUAGUCGAGGUCAUGCUUCCUUGGUGGCCACAGUGUCGACGUGUUUUCUUUGAGAGCACGAUGUUCCAUAUUGGCAUUGAACCCAUGAACCAAGUCAGUGUUACUCUCCUAAUGCUUCUGAAAGUCAUGACCUGAAGAUGAUCACCCCAAGUCCAAAGCUGUGGGAGUGGCUAAAUCACUGAAAGCAAAAUCACUCAGAAAUAAGGAGGAAGGCAAAUUGGCAGCAUCCUAGGACAAUGACUGCUUUGGAUUUUCAGCAAGUGUAGAGAUCUGUGGGGGGGAAUAAACCUUUCUCUAAACUGAGUUUACAAAUGAUUCUGUCCACUACCUCUUAUAGACAAAAUUCCCCAAAUAUAGGUUAGAAUCAGAAUGUCAGAGCUAAGAGGGCCCCAGGAGACCACCUGGUCCAAUUGCCGAGCCUCACCCCCUUUUAAAGAGAAGGAAAUGAAGGCCAGAGAGGAGAGGGGGAAAGAUGAUGAAACUGUCUUGGGAGUUGGAACUUGAACCCAGGUCUUCUAACAUCAUCCGGGGCGUUUUUUCUAUUCCAGCUGCCAGUCCUGAAAAGUGUAGUCUCGGGGGCAGCUCGGUGGCACAACGGAUAGAGCACUUGCCCUGAAGUCAGCGAGAACCCGAGUUCAGAUUCGGCCUCAGACCAACCAUUUGACACUUACUAGCUGUGUGACCCUGGGCAAGUCACUUAACCCCAAUUGCCUAAAAAAAAAAAAAGUGUAAUCUCAAAAAACUUUCCCUAUUAUUAAAAUUAUAUGUAGUGAAUCUGACCUAAGCCAAUGGGGCUUAUCCAUAAGUCAAGCAUAGAGUGAUUAUUUGCUCCUAUUCAGCUGGGUUGGAAAUGAGUGAGGCUCCUCCCCACCCCACCCAGCUGGAUAGCUCAUCUAUUUUUCCUUUUUUUCCCCCCCUUUUUUGGCUAGGCAGUGGGGUUAAGUGACUUGCCCAGGGUCACACAGCUAGUAAGUGUUACGUGUCUGAGGUGUUCUUUCUUCCAUGCCCAUAGACUUCAGGAUGCCUUUGGUUGAAUAUUGGUUCCUUCCCCUGUAGUCCCAGAUAAAGGGGUUAAAAUGCCCAAGAUUUAUAUCAAGCAUAGUCAUCAUCUUAAUUGGUUUGAUUUGGGGAAAGUCAUCUCACCUUGAGAGGUAAAAUGUCCCUCUUUGUACAAUAGGAAUUGAGGCAUCUAAUUAUAAGGCUUUUUAAGGUAGUUGGGCAAAAGAGUUUAAUGAGGAGGAUCCAGGGGUCAUUAAGAAAAGGGUGAAUAAACAUGUUCCUAUGGUGAACAGUCAGUCAGUCCUUGGACCCAGGGGGAUGGGCUUAAUGGAAUCCUAAGGUCACAUCCAUCCACGCAAUGCUAUGAAAGUCUUGAUCUUUGAAACUACACAAAAUCGAACGAGCUUUUUAUAGCUUCAGUUAUUUAUUCAGCCCACACGGGAGAGGGAUUAUGUACAAUAUAUACACUUUACAUGAUUUCCAUGAAUUGAUAAAGGCUAAAUCCACCCAAAGUAGGUACAAGUGUCCAUCCAAGUGCCACCUUUUUGCCUCUGAGGUUGGGUCAUUCUGUUGUAAAAGAGAUCUCACUAGAAAAAUGUGACUUUCCUUUUUGAUGACUAAAAUAGGAAUGACUGAAUCUUGAAACUUAGUGACAAAUAUCAAAUGGAGGUGCUCUAAAUUUAGAGUCAUCUCAAAUAUUUGAGUGUUGAGGUUUGACAGGAACCAUGAAGGAGAGGACAGAGAAAGUGCUCUAGUGGCUAGGAGUUAAUUAGAAAAUAAUAGGCCAACCUGCUCCCUGUGCCUUAGGGGAUCCAAGCCUGAAUUUGAGUUUAGUAGGAACAAGUGCAGGGAGACCCCUAUGCCCUCCAGAGUGGAACCCAGCAUUAGGACUGGAGGAGUCGGGGAACUGCAAAGCGUCAAUCAAGUGACAAGUAUUUAUUAAGCCCCGCCUAUGUCCUCGUGAGACCUUCCCUAAACAACGUCCAGCUUUUGAGGGCUCAUCAAAGUGCGCACCAAGAUUCCUCCCCCAUUCUGUUUUUCCAGAUUUUUUUUUUCUGGUUUGCUACCUAAUCUGCUCAGCUUAUUUAGAAACAUUCACGGUUCUGCAGACACCACUGCAGUCGAUUCCGUGUGCUGUUGCAUCUCUGCGUGUCAGCUCGUCAUCACCUGUGAACAAUGCCCCGAGAACCAUCUCGGACAAAAAAGAACACUGAGCUCUUCGGAGGCCGGAAGGAGCCCACCGUGGUGCCCUCACUCCUGGGCCUUCUGCGGCGGAGAAGGCGAUGCCUCUUCACCAGCAUUGCUGCUUCUGUUCCCUAUUUAUUACUAGACAGGUCCAAGUCAGAAGUCUAGACAACACUACGUUUUAUAACGACUGCUCCGAACAGGGUCAAUCUGGGCCAGAAAAUGGAUGGCUUUUUUUUUAAGAGCCUGGAAGCCCUUUCUGUUGCAACUCAGCCAUCCCGCCAGACCAGCAGGGAAGGUUAGAGCUCAGCCUGCAUCCCACCUGCCUCUUAGCACAUCUCUGUCCAGGCCAGGAAUUCUAGAGAAAGCCCAGAGGCCAUGGAACAGCCUUCCCGUUGGCUCACACCGGUUCCCAGGUAGAGCCCGAACUCCUCCCUCCUAGCUCCUCAUGCAUCACACCACAAACUGCAAAGCUGUCUUUGUGCGUAGGUCUCAACUUACAUAUUUUUACAGGGCUUACAACAGUAAAUCAAAUGCGUCCAACAAGAUUAAAGGGCAUAGAUUCAACAAAAAACACAUUAAAGAGAAAAUGGCUAAACAGUAUGUAGAGAGAGUGUUGUACAAGUAUUUCAAGUUUUGUCUUCAGCUUAAUGGGAUGGAAUUUCUCUGACCCUCCAUGACUACCGUAGCCUAGUGCCACCAGGUGGUGACCACUGUUUGCUGUGCACUUGGCUAGGCAGGCAGGCUGGGCCGCUGCUGUGGUCUUCAAAAACUCAGGGUCACUUCUAUGCGUGGAUGAGGGACUGGCUGCAAGUCACGACCUUCCAUUAACAUCGCAGCAACAACUUCUAUUAGGAAUUCCCUACCUAUUUCAUGGGAGAGUUGUUCGCGUUUCAAUAUCUUUAAUAUUGUUGACAACAGUAUGUCGCUUCUUAGGCCUUUAAGGACUUUAUAGCAGAGAUGGUGUAGGCUCUUAAAAGUUACUCUUAAUUAAGCUGCCAUUGGAGAUGAGCAAACAGCUUAAGGAAGGGUCCUGGGGAACUCAACCAUCAUCUGUAAGAGCAAACAAAAAGCUUCCCUGUGAGGGUAGAGCCUCUUUCAUGUAAAUACAGUAAAGGCCAGUCAUUCAGAAGCUUUUGACUCAGAGAUGCUGCCUGAGGGGGUGGGGCACAAUCACGGGGGAAUGAGGCACAAGGCCACCUUGAUUCUUCUUCCGACUGUGCCUUCUCUUCUCAGAGGAUAUGAGAUGGGGAUGUCUCUUUUGUGUCAGGGACCCUUUGGGCAGUCUGGUUAAGUCUAUGAACUCUUCAAUUUGUUUUUUUAAAAAUUUACAAUGGAAAGAAAUGCUAAAUUUCAGUUACAGAUUACAAUGAAAACAGAUGUCAUUUCUUCCCGUCCAAGUUCGUGAACCCCCUGAAGCCUACCCGUGGUCUCCUAAGGUGUCUGGGUACCCACUUGGACAGUGAUCACAGCAGGGUUCUUGGUAAGCAAGUACUUAGGUCAACCCUUUCAUUUUACAGAAGUGAAACCAAAACCUGGGUCCUCACGAGAAGUUUUAGUGGUUCCCCCUGAGCCACAAAGCGAAUCUGGGCCUGAGCACAAGCUGGCAAGUCCUGGUCCAGGCCCAGAUAAGAACAAUUUAAAAUGUCGGCGCUGCCAGAGAGCGUGGAGGUGAGAACAAGAUCACAUGGACCAUAAGUGGAAGUCUUGGUGACCUCUGAGGAAGGUCCUUUCAAUUGUGAAGAGCCAGUGAUCCAGAGAGGGGAACAGGGACCCUCAGGGAUGCCAGCCUUCACGACCAGAAAUACCUGGCCUUGGGCCUGCGUGAGGACAGGCAUGACCCGUCACUCCCAGUAGAGGGACUGGUCAGACCAGAUGCCUCCCAGCAGCUGGGCUUCUUUGCCCUUGACAAGGAUGUUCCCCCCUCCCUCUGGCUACUCACACGACCUGCAAGCUCCUCUCGUGGCCAUCCAACUGGACUUUCAGUUUGUGAAGCUCCUCUAUCUCCCGAUUGUGACGCUCUGUUUUGUGUCGGACCAAGGAACGAUAGAAGUGAAUGGUGAACACGACA